UGGGGAAUUUUGGACAAUGGGGGAAACCCUGAUCCAGCCAUCCCGCGUGUGCGAUGAAGGCCUUCGGGUUGUAAAGCACUUUUGGCAGGAAAGAAACGUCAUGGGUUAAUACCCCGUGAAACUGACGGUACCUGCAGAAUAAGCACCGGCUAACUACGUGCCAGCAGCCGCGGUAAUACGUAGGGUGCAAGCGUUAAUCGGAAUUACUGGGCGUAAAGCGUGCGCAGGCGGUUCGGAAAGAAAGAUGUGAAAUCCCAGAGCUCAACUUUGGAACUGCAUUUUUAACUACCGGGCUAGAGUGUGUCAGAGGGAGGUAGAAUUCCGCGUGUAGCAGUGAAAUGCGUAGAUAUGCGGAGGAACACCGGUGGCGAAGGCAGCCUCCUGGGAUAACACUGACGCUCAUGCACGAAAGCGUGGGGAGCAAACAGG
rnacentral:rRNA from 1 species